rnacentral:rRNA from 1 species
UGGGGAAUAUUGCGCAAUGGGGGAAACCCUGACGCAGCGACGCCGCGUGCGGGAUGAAGGCCUUCGGGUUGUAAACCGCUUUUGAUUGGGAGCAAGCUUUCGGGUGAGUGUACCUUUCGAAUAAGCGCCGGCUAACUACGUGCCAGCAGCCGCGGUAAUACGUAGGGCGCAAGCGUUAUCCGGAAUUAUUGGGCGUAAAGCGCGCGCAGGUGGUUUAGAAAGUCUGAUGUGAAAGCCCACGGCUCAACCGUGGAGGGUCAUUGGAAACUAAUAAACUUGAGUGCAUGAGAGAAAAGUGGAAUUCCUAGUGUAGCGGUGAAAUGCGUAGAGAUUAGGAGGAACACCGGUGGCGAAAGCGGCUUUUUGGCCUGCAACUGACACUGAGGCGCGAAAGCGUGGGGAGCAAACAGG